rnacentral:rRNA from 1 species
AUAAGGAGUCGGCGGACGGGUGCGUAAAAGAUGGGAAUCUACCUAUUAGUAAGGGAUAAGAGUAAUCUAAAUACCUUAUAAUAUCGAAAGAUAAAAAGAUUAAUCGCUAAUAGAUGAGCCUAUGUUGGAUUAGGUAGUUGGUGGGGUAAAGCUUACCAAGCCGAUGAUCCAUAGCUGGUUUGAAAGAAUGAACAGCCACAUUGGCACUGAGACAAGGGUCAAGCCUCGUAGGAGGACAGCAGUGAGGAAUAUUGGACAAUCUGUGAAAACAGGAUCCAGCCAUGACGCGUGGGUGUGACAGCGCAAUG